UACGGGGGGGGCAAGCGUUAUUCGGAAUUAUUGGGCGUAAAGAGCGUGUAGGCGGCCAGGUAGGUCUGCUGUGAAAACUCGAGGCUUAACCCUGGCCUUGCAGUGGAUACGGGCAGACUAGAGGUAGGUAGGGGAGAAUGGAAUUCCCGGUGUAGCGGUGAAAUGCGCAGAUAUCGGGAGGAACACCGGUGGCGAAGGCGGUUCUCUGGGCCUUACCUGACGCUGAGGAGCGAAAGCGUGGGGAGCGAACAGG
rnacentral:rRNA from 1 species